AGAUUUAAAAAUUAUAAAUUGCACUCUCUUGACGCUUACUUUUAAAGUCAUCAGUUUUAAUUUAAUGGCUUUUGCUAAGACCAGUAAAAAUUAUCUACUCCUCCUCGUACCAGACAAAUUUUAGAUAUACACAUUUAAGUUUUAUAAAAUAUUAAAAUGGUAGCUUGCAUACUUGUAAGCAGUUGUUACAGAUUUUCAAAAAAAUCUUAAGUUUCAAGUAAGUUUGAUUAAUAAGAAUGGAAUAACGUUAGUCUGAUGGAAACAGUGUGUUUGCGUAAUUUUGUUUACAACAUAAUUAUGCAUACUUGAUUUGCUAACAUAUAUUAACUUAUUUUCGAUAGUAAAGUCAUUUCUCAUAUGGUAAAUGGAGCAAAUUUUUAGUGGAGACAAUAAAUUUUUGAUCUAUUAAAUUGAUUCGCAUGUUUAUAUAUAAUUAUCAGCCAUAUAGAAAUAAUAUAAACAGUUGCGGUCGUAUAACAGCUCAAUUCGAAGAAACAUGAUAUAAACUUGUCAGGGAUUUGAACCGGGACACUCCAAAAGUACGGUAUAUUGAUAAAAAUAACACGAAACCGAGUUCAUAGUUCAAAUUCCAUUUGUUUGAAGGUUAUCUGUUCAAAUGUUUUUCUGUUUAUGCAUAAUAUAGAAGAAUGCUAAGGCUUUACGAUGUAAACUAGAUGUAGGCCUACAGUAGUCACACACACAUACUAAGCUAGAACGAAUUCUAAAUACGCUUUAUAUUGUUUUCUGUAUCAAAAAUGCUUUAGAAUCAUUUUUAUAAUCACCGUCAUAACUUUGGAUUUUAAAGCCGAGUAAAGUAUAUAAAAAUUUUCUCUCGAUAAAAGUUGCCAUCGUAACGAUACAACGCUUUCCCUGGCGAAUUUUUUGAGCAUUUCAAAACUAAUGUAAUUUCUAUUAGUAAGAUACGUAUUUCAUUUUUGUGAAAAUUAACCAUUCGCGCAAUUUUCAUUUACCGAUUUAUUCGCGUGGUAGUUUUCUUUUUUAUCGCAGAAUGGCCUAAAAAAAACGGUUCCAAGAUCGUUUAAGUUUUCUUGUUCUGCGUGACAUUGGCGAUUGAUAUAAAAGUAGAUUAAUAAAUAUAGAAAUAUCGUGUACAGUAUAUUUAUCAUCGACAUAUAAUUCAUCGAUUGUUUUCGGCGUACGGACAUUAUCGUAAUAAAUAUUUACAGUACGCUCGGAUCAAAUGGAAAUUAUGAUAAAUCGACGGUUGGUAACCUGCUAUUUUCUUGGUCAGAUUUCGUCUACAUUUCGUAGCGAAUUUCGUGCGCUGUUAAAAAUCGGAAUAAAAUUCUCUCUCGCAGCGUAUAACAUUCGUAAGGAACUUAAGAGAAAAAAUUCGGUUCAUAAAUUUGAUACUUUGAUGAUGAUUAAUUUUUUGAAGUGCAAAUCUAACAUUUUAGAUCUGUUUAUAGGUAAAAAUUAUUCUAGUUUGUUUACUGAUGAGCAAAGUCCACUCAAUAGAGAUAUUUCCGGGUGAUACUCUAUAUAUCAAAUUGUUUACAGGCUUUAGCUGCCGUUAUGUAUGUUUUAUUGAAUGUUGCUGUUUUUCAAAAACUGGUCAACAUGCUUAGUCUCAAAAAUUAUAAAGCAAAUUUACUGACAGUUUUAGUUGCAUUAUUUAGGCGAAAGUAUUUUGGAACAACAAUUAUAAACUUCUAGACCCGAGUUGAAAAUUGCUAUAAUGAAGAUGAAUAUCGCCAGGUCUGUUAGGAUAGGCGUGUCUAUCUUAUCCCGAAUUUGGUUUUGUGAUCAUUACCAUUGUUCAUCACAUGUUUAAUUUAUCAUAGAAUGACCGUCGAAGUAAAUUUUCGCAUAAGAUGACUGGAAGAAGUCGUUACAUGAGUGAUAGCCACAGUUAAAAAUGUUCAACCACGUCCGUGCACCGCGGCAAGUAGAGGAGUGAAGAUGCGGCAGUAUGCAUAGAAAAGUAAUGCUCCUAAUUCGUCUGUUCAGCGAGUUCUGGAGCUCAAUAAGUACCGCCCGCACAAAGUGCAUAUUCAUCACUUGAGUGAUCCAUAAAGUGGGCUGUUGGUUUAGUGAAACAAUGAAAUCAAUAGUAACUGAUGAUUUGUCAAUUUCUCUACUUGCUUUCCUUUGUCACUUUACGAAAUAUUUGUUUUGGUAGCAGAUUUUUAUUCCUUAAAUACCUAAAGGCUUUUUAAGAGAUCACCGAAGUCCUUAAACUAUUUUAACAGAUUUUAAACACACACUCACGUGUAUAAGUUUGUUAUAAUGCGCUGUGUUCUUGUCUAUAAACUUGUAUGUAGUUUUACUGCAUAACUGUAUACAUUUUUAUAUAGAAACACAGCAAUUUAAAUGAUUCAGAAGACUCCAGAUCUAAGUCGGAUAAGUUUUGAAG
rnacentral:lncRNA from 1 species